AUGGAGGACAACAGUGCGGAGGGCAUCGCCGUCCGUGCCCGCAUCCUGGCGAAGCGACAAGCCUGGACGGCGCGUGCCCUCGCACUGGAGCAAACCUGGGUAGUCCGUGCCGUCGCCAGACUGCCCCCCAAAGAGGAAGAGGCCGGUGACGCAUCCGAAGCCCCGACAAUGAGCGGAUCCGGUUCCCAUAUUGCGUCUUCGACGGCAGCUUCCGUGACGAAGAUGGCAAGGGCAAGGGCGGCUGUGGGAUUGUAUGGAAUUGAGGGUUUCGGAACUAGGGGCACGGCUGUGGAUGCAAACAUUUGA
rnacentral:rRNA from 1 species